UACAGAGGGUGCGAGCGUUAAUCGGAAUUACUGGGCGUAAAGCGUGCGCAGGCGGCUUUGCAAGACAGAUGUGAAAUCCCCGGGCUUAACCUGGGAACUGCAUUUGUGACUGCAUAGCUAGAGUACGGUAGAGGGGGAUGGAAUUCCGCGUGUAGCAGUGAAAUGCGUAGAUAUGCGGAGGAACACCGAUGGCGAAGGCAAUCCCCUGGACCUGUACUGACGCUCAUGCACGAAAGCGUGGGGAGCAAACAGG
rnacentral:rRNA from 1 species